rnacentral:lncRNA from 1 species
GGGUGGACAUAUCUCAUUCUAACUCCGGUUUAAUAAUUUUCACAUUGACUUGCUCUAAAGGAAUGCAAACAAAUGAUUCCUACCUGAAAGUGCCAGCAACAGUAGAGAACAACAAAUUUCAAGAUAACCAAUAAACCCCAGCAACAUUACAUAGUUUUCUUUCUGGGGUGAACCUGCACUGGUACUGCAAAUCUGAUUGAAGAAGGGUAUGCUAUCACAAUCUUCAUAAACUUCAAAUAAUUGACUACAUCAUCAAAAAAAAAAAACAUAAACAUAAACCAUAGCCAACCUGAAAACAGGUAACCAAAAGAUUAACAAUGAUGAAUUAUGGAUAAAGACAAUGAAAUAUAUACAUUUGGCUCAUUCCAAAACAGAAUUACAUGUUACCAACCACGAGUCAGCAGAAGGGAAAGAAUCCAAAAAAAAAAAAAAUCAUAAAAAAAUUUGACCUUCCCUACUGAUUAAUACUAUCAAAACUAACGGAAAUCUCUACUGCUAUAACAGCUCUCAUAUCUACAGCACCAACUAAAGUGAAACAAACAAAAUUUCGUGGAAAAAUGGAAACUUUCAAGCAUUGCUAUCGAUCAUUGUUUAAAUAAAAAAAAAACAGAAAAACGAGGAAAUCGCUAAAUAAAGGAAAAAAUAAGAAGGGAAAAGAAGAAAAACGGGAUAAAAAAGGAAGGGGAUCCCUAAUCUCACCCAAGGGCUCGGAAGUGAUAGAAUCGAUCGAGAACGAACUCGGAAUUCCCGAACCGGCAGCCUUCUGAAUAAAAAAGCACCACAUAAAGCUACGCCUUUUAGCGUACGCGCUCCGUCCUCGACGCCUCGUGUCGCUCCAACCGUCGGCG